rnacentral:rRNA from 1 species
UGGGGAAUUUUGGACAAUGGGCGAAAGCCUGAUCCAGCAAUGCCGCGUGUGUGAAGAAGGCCUUCGGGUUGUAAAGCACUUUUGUCCGGAAAGAAAUCCUUGGCUCUAAUACAGUCGGGGGAUGACGGUACCGGAAGAAUAAGCACCGGCUAACUACGUGCCAGCAGCCGCGGUAAUACGUAGGGUGCAAGCGUUAAUCGGAAUUACUGGGCGUAAAGCGUGCGCAGGCGGUUUGCUAAGACCGAUGUGAAAUCCCCGGGCUCAACCUGGGGAACUGCAUUGGUGACUGGCAGGCUAGAGUAUGGCAGAGGGGGGUAGAAUUCCACGUGUAGCAGUGAAAUGCGUAGAGAUGUGGAGGAAUACCGAUGGCGAAGGCAGCCCCCUGGGCCAAUACUGACGCUCAUGCACGAAAGCGUGGGGAGCAAACAGGAUUAGAUACCCUGGUAGUCCACGCCCUAAACGAUGUCAACUAGUUGUUGGGGAUUCAUUUCCUUAGUAACGUAGCUAACGCGUGAAGUUGACCGCCUGGGGAGUACGGUCGCAAGAUUAAACUC